CUGCCUCAUAAUUUCAAUAAAUUGCACAAUUUGAAACAUAAGUAGUCAAGAAAAGUUGCCUUUUUCUUUCUUUAUUCCUCAACUAUUGUGUGUAGUUCCAAAAGCAAGUAUCUUAUGCCCAAAAUGGUAUCAUUUUAUCAACUCAACCAUCUAAAUCAAUUUCAAACAUUAAAACCCUCAGCUCGAAGGCACUGACGAUGAGCCUCAAUCCAUUUUGCACAAGCAGUUUCACCAUGCUCCACAAUGCAUUCAUCUCUCAGCUUCUUAGUUUCAGGGCAGGCACAGCAUAUCUUCUUUUUUGGCUUUGAUUCUGCUACAGAUGAUGUAAUUGCUGAACCCUUAGUUUGCUCGGAACCUGGCAGAGCUAAGGUAGAGGAAGCAUUUUGCAAAGGCAGCCCACCCAUUUCACAAAGUCUUAAAAAUAUUACUGAAAGAGGGAAACUGAUUGAGAGAGGAUGUGUAAGAGUCUCGAAGGCCAAGUUUUGUAGGUGAUUUUGGAGCGUCUCUGCUCUACGGAAAACCAAAGGGAAAGCUCUCGGCAGAACCUAUGCUUUGCCUCCAAUUUUUCUUUAGUUUCAGAUUCACUCUGCAAUCUGCACCAGUGAUCCCAAAUGGGAAACCCAGCUUUACACCAAUUCCAGCUGAAAUUUAUUCAAUAAACGCCCCAGAGCGUGAUCAAGUUCAGCAAGGCCUUUCCAUGACACAACAAUUAUGUGUUAUAGCUAAUCAUACUUCUCUCUCCAUGAGUAA
rnacentral:misc_RNA from 1 species